CCUACGGGUGGCAGCAGUGGGGAAUAUUGGGCAAUGGACGCAAGUCUGACCCAGCAACGCCGCGUGAAGGAAGAAGGCUUUCGGGUUGUAAACUUCUUUUAAGGGGGAAGAGCAGAAGGAGGUACCCCUUGAAUAAGGCACGGCUAACUAAGUGCCAGCAGCCGCGGUAAUACGUAGGGGGGAAGGGUUGUCCGGAUUUACUGGGUGUAAAGGGCGUGCAGGCGGGAAGACAAGUCAGAUGUGAAAUCCCGCGGCUCAACCGCGGAACUGCAUUUGAAACUGGUUUUGUUGAGUAUCGGAGAGGUAAGCGGAAUUCCUAGUGUAGCGGUGAAAUGCGUAGAUAUUAGGAAGAACACCAGUGGCGAAGGCGGAUUACUGGACGGCAACUGACGGUGAGGCUCGAAAGCGUGGGGAGCAAACAGGAUUAGAUACCCCAGUAGUC
rnacentral:rRNA from 1 species